CCUCCAGUUGCAUUGCCAAGCAACCACCACAACCAUCCAAGCAAACAAAUGGAGGCGAUGACGAAGACUAGUGCUAGAGGUGCCAAGGGCAAGGUGGCGAUGGUCUACUCUAAGUACGUCAAGCCCCAGAGCAACUCUGCUUUUGUUUUCGAAACAGGAUUACCCCGCUUUUAAGAGAGCAAUAAUGGUCUGGAUGGCACAGGGGUGGGCGCGUAUGUGGCGCAAAAUUACAGGGUCGUCAACAUCAUGAUCCCAAAGACGCUACGAGAAGACCUACGGGAAGCAGGAAGCCCGCUAGUUUUGUCGCCGACGCCGGAAUCACCGAAGGCUGAAGAAGAAGGCUGCCACGACGACGACGAGAGCAGUUGCUGCUACCGCUGCUGCUACGGCUGCUUAUAUGUAGACUGUAGUUUGCUUAUUUCAGUACUAGAUUAAUUAAUUAAGUUCCGGUAAUCUACGUUUCAUCUUGUUCAAAGUUUUAGUAAAAUAUACCUACUUCGUGUCUGCAUUAAGUUUCGGUGAUCUGUGUGGGUUAUGUAAGUUUUGGUAAUCUCUGGAUAUUGGUGAAAUAGAUGUGUAUUUAAUAA